CCUUGAAAUACCACCCUUUAAUGUUUGAUGUUCUAACGUGGACCCGUAAUCCGGGUUGCGGACAGUGUCUGGUGGGUAGUUUGACUGGGGCGGUCUCCUCCUAAAGAGUAACGGAGGAGCACGAAGGUUGGCUAAUCCUGGUCGGACAUCAGGAGGUUAGUGCAAUGGCAUAAGCCAGCUUGACUGCGAGCGUGACGGCGCGAGCAGGUGCGAAAGCAGGUCAUAGUGAUCCGGUGGUUCUGAAUGGAAGGGCCAUCGCUCAACGGAUAAAAGGUACUCCGGGGAUAACAGGCUGAUACCGCCCAAGAGUUCAUAUCGACGGCGGUGUUUGGCACCUCGAUGUCGGCUCAUCACAUCCUGGGGCUGAAGUAGGUCCCAAGGGUAUGGCUGUUCGCCAUUUAAAGUGGUACGCGAGCUGGGUUUAGAACGUCGUGAGACAGUUCGGUCCCUAUCUGCCGUGGGCGCUGGAGAACUGAGGGGGGCUGCUCCUAGUACGAGAGGACCGGAGUGGACGCAUCACUGGUGUUCGGGUUGUCAUGCCAAUGGCACUGCCCGGUAGCUAAAUGCGGAAGAGA
rnacentral:rRNA from 1 species